GUCAGGCCUGAGGUAGAGGCAAAGGCAGCCGGAACGACGUGGGCCGAGCUGAAGAGGAUCUCCCAGAACCGUCCGUUGGAGGGGUGUUGUUGUGGCCCUUUGUU